rnacentral:rRNA from 1 species
GGUGCAAGCGUUACUCGGAAUUACUGGGCGUAAAGCGUGCGUAGGUGGUGAGUUAAGUCUGUCGUGAAAGCCCCGGGCUCAACCUGGGAAUGGCGAUGGAUACUGGCUCGCUAGAGUGCGGUAGAGGAGAGUGGAAUUCCCGGUGUAGCAGUGAAAUGCGUAGAGAUCGGGAGGAACAUCAGUUGCGAAGGCGGCUCUCUGGACCAGCACUGACACUGAGGCACGAAAGCGUGGGGAGCAAACAGG